rnacentral:rRNA from 1 species
UACGGGGGGGGCAAGCGUUGUUCGGAAUUACUGGGCGUAAAGCGCGCGUAGGCGGUUUUGCAAGCCAGAGGUGAAAUGCCUGAGCUCAACUUAGGAAUUGCCUUUGGGACUGCGAGGCUUUGAGGACGGGAGAGGUGAGUGGAAUUCCCAGUGUAGAGGUGAAAUUCGUAGAUAUUGGAAGAACACCGGUGGCGAAGGCGGCUCACUGGCCCGUUUCUGACGCUGCAGCGCGAAAGCGUGGGGAUCAAACAGG